UUGCACUCAUUUCAGCAGCAUAUGUACUGAAAGUGGAUUGAAACAAAGAUCAGCAUGGCCACCAUGCAAGGAUGACACACCCAUUUGCGAAGCGUUCCAUAUUUUU